CAUCAAAUUCAUUACCAUCACAAGGAAGCUUCAAUUCAAUUGAGCUUACUUGUUUUUCUCUCUUUUUUCCGGCGAGGGUCACUGGGAUCGUGUCUUUUGAUGUCCACUUCUUGCCUCCUAAUUCGAUACGGCACCGGGAUCUUCCUGAGGGUUUUUACAUUCUCCGGUGGAAGGAAAAUGGAAGAGCAGAGGCAGACUUUGGGAGAUAUAAUGUGAAUACUGUUCUGAGUAGAAUAUACACUCUCUUCUCUAGAAGUGGAAUACCCAUUGCUAAGAAACAUCAAGAGAUUAUGAACAUGGUUGAUGAAUAAACACCCCUCGACUGCCAUGGCUGACCGAUGAAGAUCUCACCAUCUAAUGCAACUUUAUAUGAGCAUUCUGGGUUUGAAUCUGCCUUGCAAGUUCCUUACAGGUAUGAAGUUUUCCUGAUUCACCAUUAAAGAUGAAAUUUGAUUCAAUUUUAGGAGAAAGCAUGAGCAGUUGGGCUUAAGCAAUCAAAGGUUGAAGUUCCAGUUUUGUUGAUGAUGGGUGGAAAAGAUUAUCUAAUGAAAUUUCCAGGGAUUGAAGACUAAGUCAAGACUGAGAAAUUGAGGGAAUUCAUGGCUGAUUUGGAGGUUGUAGAUUUGGCUGAUGGAACUCAUUUCAUGCAAGAGCAACUCUCACAACAACUCAAUCUCCUUUAUCACAUUUCUUACUAAACAUAAUAGUUGAUUAACACAGCAUAAUAAUGGUUCAAGUUCCCUUCCAAUGGAUUCAACUAUCAACUGAACCACUUAAAUUGGUUGAUCCAUCAUUUUCUUUUAAAUAAAUCAACAGUGUAAUACUACUAACAAUUGGAUUUCUUUUAGAAUAGGUGAUUAAAUCUUCCAACCCCUAAAAACAAUUAUCGCAGUGACAUUAAAGCUAAACUCAUGUUGAGUGAGGCAAUGGGGUGACCUUGGCAUAUUUAUUAAGAAUAUUGUCUUUUUCUUUUUCACUCUUGAACUGAAUACAGAAACAGAAAAAAAAAAAA